AGGACGAACGCUGGCGGCGUGCUUAACACAUGCAAGUCGAGCGGUAAGGCCUUUCGGGGUACACGAGCGGCGAACGGGUGAGUAACACGUGGGUGAUCUGCCCUGCACUUCGGGAUAAGCCUGGGAAACUGGGUCUAAUACCGGAUAUGACCUCAGGUUGCAUGACGUUGGGGUAGGAAAGAUUUUAUCGGUGCGAGGAGUCGGGCCCGCGGCCUAUCAGUCUUGUUGGUGGGGUAAUGGCCUACCGAAGGCGACGACGGGUAGCCGACCGUGAGAGGGUCGACGGCCACGA
rnacentral:rRNA from 1 species